AGGUUUUUAAUCUAAUUAAGAUAAUUGAUUUCGGCUCAAUAGAUCAUGGUCCUACCCCAUGAAUACCUU
rnacentral:tRNA from 1 species